UACGAAGGGGGGCUAGCGUUGCUCGGAAUCACUGGGCGUAAAGCGCACGUAGGCGGCUUUUUAAGUCAGGGGUGAAAUCCUGGAGCUCAACUCCAGAACUGCCUUUGAUACUGAGAGCUUGAGUCCGGGAGAGGUGAGUGGAACUGCGAGUGUAGAGGUGAAAUUCGUAGAUAUUCGCAAGAACACCAGUGGCGAAGGCGGCUCACUGGCCCGGUACUGACGCUGAGGUGCGAAAGCGUGGGGGAGCAAACAGG
rnacentral:rRNA from 1 species